UACGGGGGGGGCAAGCGUUGUUCGGAAUUACUGGGCGUAAAGGGCGCGUAGGCGGCGUGUCAAGUCAGGCGUGAAAGCCCCGGGCUCAACCUGGGAACCGCGCUUGAGACUGGCAUGCUCGAGUUCGGGAGAGGAUGGUGGAAUUCCCAGUGUAGAGGUGAAAUUCGUAGAUAUCAAGAGGAACACCAGUGGCGAAGGCGAGUCCCUGGACGGAUACCUGACACUGAGGCACGAAAGCCAAGG
rnacentral:rRNA from 1 species